rnacentral:rRNA from 1 species
GAUGAACGCUGGCGGCGUGCCUAAUACAUGCAAGUCGAGCGAACAGACGAGGAGCUUGCUCCUCUGACGUUAGCGGCGGACGGGUGAGUAACACGUGGAUAACCUACCUAUAAGACUGGGAUAACUUCGGGAAACCGGAGCUAAUACCGGAUAACAUGUUGAACCGCAUGGUUCAACAGUGAAAGACGGUCUUGCUGUCACUUAUAGAUGGAUCCGCGCCGCAUUAGCUAGUUGGUAAGGUAACGGCUUACCAAGGCAACGAUGCGUAGCCGACCUGAGAGGGUGAUCGGCCACACUGGAACUGAGACACUGUCCAGACUCCUACGGGAGGCAGCAGUAGGGAAUCUUCCGCAAUGGGCGAAAGCCUGACGGAGCAACGCCGCGUGAGUGAAGAAGGUCUUCGGAUCGUAAAACUCUGUUAUUAGGGAAGAACAAAUGUGUAAGUAACUAUGCACGUCUUGACGGUACCUAAUCAGAAAGCCACGGCUAACUACGUG